rnacentral:misc_RNA from 1 species
CAAGAAGCGGGAACUUCAGUAGAGUGAACUAUCAGCUACAUAUUUCAUGUUUACCUGACUUUCUGGUCUUCUCAAAGCAAAUAUUUUCUGCGUAGAAAAGUGAAUAAUGGAAGAAGAUUUAGAGCAAAGGUCUGGGGCUCAAUCGCGUGUAGCAAGCGCAACUUCGUCGCAUGUAGAUGGCGAAGGAGAUGUAGUCGUGGAGGAGGUGAAAGCCACUCCGACAUCUUUGAAUAUGUGUUGGUCGUUUGGUGUAAACAGGCAUGUCCCAGUUCAGAAUUUAUCGAAUGGAAGUCGAAAGGUGGCGUUCUAUGUUUGUUCUCAUGUUGGAAUGAUGUUUGACUGGGAAGCAAACAAACAACAACUUCUACAAGGCCAUUGUAAUGCUAUUGCCUGUACAUGUGUCAGUGAGGACAGGCGAUGGGUUGCAACCGCAGACUGUGGUAAAGACAGUAUGGUUAUUAUCUGGGACUCAUUCACAACUAUUCCAGUACAGACAAUAUUUGAAGCUCAUCCCAAUGGCUGUGCAGCCAUUGCCAUGUCUCCAGAUGCUAAAUAUAUUGCCACAAUAAGCAGUACCCUACCACAGACUGUAUCUGUGUGGGAUUGGACAGUUAAUGGUGACAUGCCGAUGUGUUCUGUAGUGCUCGGUGAUGACUUUGGAAAACAGAAUUACAUCACAUUUAACCCAGAGGAUACAAGUGAACUUGUCAGUAACAGUGAGUCUCAAGUUAUUUUUUAUCAGUGGAAUGAGAAGGCUUUAGAGUUUGUUGCUCCACCCCUCACAGACAAGGAUUUCAACCGGAGUGUUGGGCUCUACAGUCAGUCCAUUUUUCAGCUCCAGUCCCCCAGAGCACUCACAGCCACAAGUUGUGGAAACAUAGUGGUUUGGGAACAUACUGGAGGGGACUUAAAAUGUAACAGAAAAGCAUUCAAGAUUGUGAAAUUGCAAGAGAAAGCUCUUACAGUACUCACAACUACUAACAGGUUCAUUGUGACAGGAGAUGUGGCAGGUCAUGUGAGAUUUCUUGAUCAACAGCUCAGGCUCACUAAUUGGUAUAAGCACUUCAAUGCUGGUCCUAUCAAUGCAGUAUCAUUUUCUUACUCACCAAAGACAGUUGACGGACAAACUCCCCCAGUUCAACCAAACUAUCCUUCCAGCUCCACUUUGGAUGCUGAACCAUUUGUAGUAAAUGAUUUCUUAAUUAGCACAUCCACUGCCAACAUUGCUCAUUUUGCCACUGAUGGGAGUGAACUUCAGUUCGUCCGUAGGGAGCAUGAUAGUGACACUCAUGGCAUAGCAUGCCACCCUUCUGAACCAAGGCUGUGUAUUGGGAGUUACUCAGGUCUACUUCAGCUUUGGGAUUAUGAAAAGAAAGAACUGCUGGCAAGUCGAGUUUUUGACCAACGUCAACUGAUGAUCCAAUGCAUGACCUUUAACCCUUCAGGAGAUCUCUUAGCUAUUGGAUUUACAAAUGGUAGUGUGCGUAUCUUGGAUGGAUUGCUGCUGAAGGAAGAAGGGCAUGGUGAUGGCCUUGCUGUUUUCAAUCACUGCCAUGAUUGUGUCACUAAUAUCAAAUUCUCUCAUGAUUCCAACUAUUUGGCCACAUGUGAUUUAGACCGCUGUGUAACAGUUUUCAAAGCACAGAAGGACAACUCAGAACAACCUUGGGUUUAUGUUGGUAAACAGAGAGCUCACUAUAAAACAAUACAAGACGUUUCCUUUGGGAUAGCUUUAGACAGUGAUAUCCCUCGGUUACUUUCUCUGGGUCAAGAUAGAGUGCUGGUGGAGUAUGAUCUUCUGAACAGCAGCACAGAUGACCUCCGUCUCAUCAGUUCAGAGAGAAUUGAACAAAGUGCUGUACCUCAGUGUUUUACUUGGUAUCCGCCAAUUGUCAAGGAAGAUUUUCUAGUAGUCGCUAACGAUCAGUUCAAAUUAAAAUUGUAUAACUCAACCACGAAGAUGUGUAGACAAACACUGCUGGGACCAACAUAUGGCACCCCACUGAGAAGACUUAUCGUGUUACCAGCUCACGAGGAAAGACUGACACGGUAUCUCGCUUAUAUUACAGUGGACAAGGUUGGUCUUCAAUGCCUACCAUUGGAUGGAAAUCCGCACAAGACCAUGGCUUUAAUCGCACAUCCAGAGGGGGUGUCUAACUUGGUUUCUUCAUGUGAUGGGAAGUAUGUUUUCACAGCCGGUGGCGAGGAUUGUAGUGUAUUAAUGUGGGAAAUCAACCUGGAUGCGUUGGAAGCUGCGGCUGCUCUCGGCGGUGAGGGUCUUGUACCGUUCUACGGUUUAUUAGAAGGUGGUCGGGACGGUGAACUGUUCGCUGAGUUGGAGGACUAUUUCUAUUACGCCCAGAUCAGAAGGUGUGGACACGACAGACACCAGACAAGUAUCAACAAAAGUGCCACUAGCUCAGGUGCCGUAUAUCAUGCGAGCUUUGGGAUACUAUCCUACGGAACAAGAGAUUGAUGAUAUGAUCAAUGAGGUAAAAUUCAGAGAUUACGUUGCAACAGGAAAAUACGUAAACGAGAUUGAUCUGGGUGAAUUUAUAAGACUUUAUGUCAACCAUCGCCCUGCGUUUGGCUUAUCACCGUUUGACUUAAAUGAAGC